rnacentral:rRNA from 1 species
UGGGGAAUUUUGGACAAUGGGCGAAAGCCUGAUCCAGCAAUGCCGCGUGUGUGAAGAAGGCCUUCGGGUUGUAAAGCACUUUUGUCCGGAAAGAAAUCCUUGGCUCUAAUACAGUCGGGGGAUGACGGUACCGGAAGAAUAAGCACCGGCUAACUACGUGCCAGCAGCCGCGGUAAUACGUAGGGUGCAAGCGUUAAUCGGAAUUACUGGGCGUAAAGCGUGCGCAGGCGGUUUGCUAAGACCGAUGUGAAAUCCCCGGGCUCAACCUGGGAACUGCAUUGGUGACUGGCAGGCUAGAGUAUGGCAGAGGGGGGUAGAAUUCCACGUGUAGCAGUGAAAUGCGUAGAGAUGUGGAGGAAUACCGAUGGCGAAGGCAGCCCCCUGGGCCAAAUACUGACGCUCAUGCACGAAAGCGUGGGGAGCAAAACAGGAUUAGAUACCCUGGUAGUCCACGCCCUAAACGAUGUCAACUAGUUGUUGGGGAUUCAUUUCCUUAGUAACGUAGCUAACGCGUGAAGUUGACCGCCUGGGGAGUACGGUCGCAAGAUU